rnacentral:rRNA from 1 species
AGCGAACGCUGGCGGCAGGCUUAACACAUGCAAGUCGAGCGGGCAUCCUUGUGGUGUCAGCGGCAGACGGGUGAGUAACGCGUGGGAACGUGCCCUUCGGUUCGGAAUAACUCAGGGAAACUUGAGCUAAUACCGGAUACGUGCGAGAGCAGAAAGGUUUAUCUGCCGAAGGAUCGGCCCGCGUCUGAUUAGCUAGUUGGUGAGGUUACGGCACACCAAGGCGACGAUCAGUAGCUGGUCUGAGAGGAUGAUCAGACACACUGGGACUGAGACACGGCCCAGACUCCUACGGGAGGCAGCAGUGGGGAAUAUUGGACAAUGGGGGCAACCCUGAUCCAGCCAGGCCGCGUGAGUGAUGACGGCCUUAGGGUUGUAAAGCUCUUUUCUCCGGGACGAUAAUGACGGUACCGGAGGAAUAAGCCCCGGCUAACUUCGUG